AGCUAUUAAAGUGACUGGUCAAAAUCACAUUUAUUUAUUUGUUAUUUAUAUGAGCUCGCCUGCAGGCUAAAAUUAUAACAUUGUCUAUAAUAUACAUGUAAAUACAAAUUAAAGACAAACUCAGUUAAUACCAAUUACAGUGUGGGUCCUCCCUAUUAUUGGCAUUAAUUAAGCAAGUUUACAAAAAAUAAUAAAAGUAAAAUAAAAAUAAAAAGCACUAAACAACAACAAAGAAAACAAAAAAAUAACAAAGCAAAAAACUCGAAGUCAAAUAACAGGAUACAGGGCUAUAUAGUGAGGCCUCGUACCAUUUUUUCGGUCUUGUCUAAAAGUAAACACACAAUCACAUUACAAAGUUGGAUUAUAGGGAAAAUUCCCAUCAUGCUGGGGAGAGGCAUGGUACGUAUGGGUACAUGCAUAACGGAUCUCUUCAAUUAAAUGUUAAAUAUUAAAUAAACUUGGUUGCCGCGGCUUACUUCAUUAUAAACUGAUUUCACCAAUCAAAGUAUUUUUGUCUACACAGGAAAUCCGGCUAUUCGUGAGCCCCUACGG